UGAAAGAGAAGUGUACACUAAUGUAGUUAUGAAUGCUCAGAAGAAAAGUGGGCUGUUUUGGGUAAGAAGAAACCCACAAAAAAGUGUGCUAGUUUGAUAGUGUUGGAGAAGUGCGGUUGGAUCCCUCCUUUGUGUAAAAUCUUGGAUCUCUCCUCCGACAGCUCAGGUUGAGCUCAUGAUACCUGUCUCCAUGAGGUAUAUGCCUACGGAACAAGAAAAAAUGUCAGAAUCAUAUUUUAUAACACCGGAUGGAAAGAAUGUCCUACUGCAUGGAAGUUAAUAACACAUUUUAUUUGUGCUCUGUACAACAGAAGACAAAGACUGAAGACAGCAGAUAGGAAGAGCCAGCAAACUGUAAUAUUUGAAAAUUCAUUGGAGUGUUCCAAGCAGAACAUUAAGGUAAUAUUUAUGUUCUGGAGAUAGUCCUAUGGAAAGAAAAUUCUC
rnacentral:lncRNA from 1 species